AAACAUUAUGGAACAGAUUUUUUAUGAAUAUUACAAUGAAGUGACAUGGUAUGGGUAAUUUUAAGUCGUAAUAAAUAUUUAAUCAAUUAUUCAUUCAUUGGAUAGUCUCCUGAGAUGAAACAUCUCGUCUUCGAGGGUGUCCAUAAACAAAAAUAAUUAAUUAAAAUAAGUAGAUUCACAUGACAAAAUCACAAAAACAAAUUCUAAAGGAUGAAUGAAAUAACACACAGGCUGAACAACAACACUUCAAAAUCACAUUUUCUAAGAUGACUUUCUUAAUUCUGUAUAUUGCUGUAGAUGGCAAAGGCAGUGAUGGAGGCAUAUCCUGCACUUCCAGCCAUGUCCUUUCCAACUGCAAAGAGGGACAUGGCUUUGGAAAGGACCAACUUUGCACUGGCAGUACUGAAGGAUUCAGUAUUUGAUAUGGACAACAACUGUGCCAUGUGCUCUGCCUCAAAGCCCCCGGGAACAGGGCCUCCGACUACUCAUUGGAUACAGUGUGACACUUGCGGACGAUGGUACCAUGAG